CUUCAUAACUGCGGCAGCAACGCUUAUGCGUUGUUGGGGCGGGGAGCGCACAGUACGCCUGCGAAGGGGUGCUGUGAGGCAUGCUGGAGGUAUCAGAAGUGCGAAUGCUGACAUAAGUAACGAUAAAGCGGGUGAAAAGCCCGCUCGCCGGAAGACCAAGGGUUCCUGUCCAACGUUAAUCGGGGCUGGGUGAGUCGACCCCUAAGGCGAGGCCGAGAGGCGUAGUCGAUGGGAAAUUGGUUAAUAUUCCAAUACUUCUAUGUAAUGCGAUGAGAGGACGGAGAAGGUUAAGUCAGCCUGGCGUUGGUUGUCCAGGUGGAAGGUUGUAGGCAUGUAUCUUAGGCAAAUCCGGGGUACUCUAUGCUGAGAACUGAUAGCAAGCUGUACUUGUACAGUGAAGUGGCUGAUACCAUGCUUCCAGGAAAAGUCUCUAAGCUUCAGUUACAUAGGAAUCGUACCCGAAACCGACACAGGUGGUCAGGUCGAGUAGACCAAAGCGCUUGAGAGAACUCUGCUGAAGGAACUAGGCAAAAUGGUACCGUAACUUCGGGAGAAGGUACGCUGCCGACGGUGAUAGGAUUUACUCCUUGAGCUAUUGGCAGCCACAGAAACCAGGCCCCUGCAACUGUUUAUUAAAAACAU
rnacentral:rRNA from 1 species